UGGUGUGCUCGUUUGGAUGUGG
rnacentral:miRNA from 1 species